CUCAUACACACAGGCCUCACCCUCCAGUCUCCAGAGGCACUCAGUCCACAUCCUCACAGCAUGGAGUGGAUGUGGAGGCUCCUUCUCCUGCUGACAGUGGCCCCAGGUACCUACUCCCAGGUGCAGCUGGUGCAGUCUGGGCCUGAGCUGAAGAAGCCAGGAGAAGCCGUGAAGGUCUCCUGCAAGGCUUCUGGAUAUACCUUCACUAGCUACAGUAUUAAUUGGGUGAGGCAGGAGCCAAGAGGUGGCCUGCAGUGGAUGGGGUGGAUCAACACUAACACUGGAAAUCCAACCUAUGCUGAGGGCUUCAAAGGACGAUUUGUCUUCUCCCUGGAGACCUCUGUCAGCACAGCACAUCUGCAGAUCAGCAGCCUGAAGGCCGAGGACACGGCCGUGUACUACUGUGCAAGACACAGUGAGGAAACCACAUCCAGAAAGGAGUCAGAAACUCUGAGAGAGAAGCUGUUCCUGCUCACCAGACAGCAGCACUAG